AGGCUCGUGAUGUAACGACAGCAUUCCGGAUUUUGGCUCCGGGCGUUCAGGUUUGAAUCCUGGCGAGCCUG
rnacentral:tRNA from 1 species